rnacentral:rRNA from 1 species
GGCCUUGUACACACCGCCCGUCAAGCCAUGGAAGCCGGGAGUGCCUGAAGUGUGCAACCGCAAGGAGCGCCCUAAGGUAAAACCGGUGACUGGGGCUAAGUCGUAACAAGGUAGCCGUACCGGAAGGUGCGGCUGGAACACCUCCUUU